ACCAGAAAGAUACAUUUCACAUUUCACGGGGAAGAGACUUCCGAAAGGUGAGUAGCCUGGCCCUUGGACGACAUCAACACCACAGGGGAAUCUAUUUUCCCUCAAUCAGAAGAAAUCUCUAUUGCAAUCAAAAACAAUAAAACCCCUAUUCUCUGAUCCCAUUUUUCGUCUUCAAUCGUCACGUUAUCAUAGGGUUUGGUGUUAUGCUUUAAGCUCUUUAUAUGGCCUACCCUGGUGUCCUAAAAUCAAUUUAUGCGGUUGUUGUUUGGAUUGCUUCAUAUGCUCUUGUUGCAAUUAUUGGAUUAUUUCAAGUCUCGACUUUUAUUGGUUCAUCUAUUUUCAAUCGAUAAAGUACUUUGAAGGGGUAGAAGGGGCAAAAGGGCAAUAAAAAGAUCAAGGAAUAAUGAAAAAGGUGGAUGUAUAUGGCAUGGUUUUACACAAAUGGACAUUGAAGAGAAAAGAUUUAGACCAAAAGGAUUUGUUGAGAGUGUUUUUUGUUCUUUUGGUAUGAGUUUUGGUGUGUGAGAGAUGUGUCGUAUGUGGGAUUCACUUUUUUUCAAGGAUCUUUUGAGGAAUUUAUUCAUUGAGUUUUGAUUUGGUUCAAGUGGUUUUAAAAACCUAGUCAUUGUUGGCUUGAACAAAGUGUUUUGUCUAGACAUAAUAUAUAUAAUAAAAGAUGAUAUUCUUGACAGUUUC